GAAAAUGAUUUCUAGCAGAUGCCCUUUCAUUUAAAAGCCUACCCCCCAGGCAAAAUUCCUCAGCAUUAAGAAAGAUCAACAGUGUCACAAGAUUCAGAAACCUCACACAUAUAUGCACACAAAUGUCAAGACAGAGAAUGUAUGUACACCGUGAACAGUGAAAUAAAAUAUAUGAGAAGAUGCACUUUACAAGAGACAGAUAAAGCAAGCAAGUAAUGGAAGCAUGAACAUAUCCACUAUUCAGCUUUGUUCCUGCAGAUGAACAAUGCCAUGGUUUGAUGAACAAAUGGGAAGAAACCUGGGCCCCUAAAUGACUGUAUGAAGACACUUUGCCUCCUGACCCACUCACCACAGAACUAGUAUAUAAAAGAGAAAUUGACUUUCAAUAUCUUCAAGUCAUUGUAUUUUUGACAUUAGAGUGUACCCACAUCUAAAUUACAUGCC
rnacentral:lncRNA from 10 species